AACGAACGCUGGCGGCAGGCUUAACACAUGCAAGUCGAGCGCCCCGCAAGGGGAGCGGCAGACGGGUGAGUAACGCGUGGGAAUCUACCCAUCACUACGGAACAACUCCGGGAAACUGGAGCUAAUACCGUAUACGACCGAGAGGUGAAAGAUUUAUCGGUGAUGGAUGAGCCCGCGUUGGAUUAGCUAGUUGGUGGGGUAAAGGCCUACCAAGGCGACGAUCCAUAGCUGGUCUGAGAGGAUGAUCAGCCACAUUGGGACUGAGACACG
rnacentral:rRNA from 1 species